UACAUAUUCAGUGAACUGCCUAAGCUUGGCCUCCUAAGACUGGACCAUCUAGAAAAAUAGUCCCUUGGGAGGUAUGGCCUGAUUAAUGAUACUCUUUUUGUUGCAGGUGGUGCCAAAAAAUUACCAGAAGACACUGGCUCUGGAUUUUAUUGGGGUGACCAAGAGGAAGCCUGAUCUAAUGUCUCAUAUUGCUUUGGGAUUCCUUAUCUAAGGAAAUCCUUGGUGAGCUCCUGGUUAUGGCUAUCUGAAGAAGACCACACCAUCCAUAAUUUUACCUGAGAAAGAAAGACCUCCCUGAGUUGGCUAGACUGGACCAGCACUCUGCACAGACAGACCCACAAGCUUGAAACCCACGGCCAGUGGGCAGAAGUGUCUGUUCAGGGUGCAAGAAGAGGAAGACGACAAGGAGGACAUGUGGUUUUGUGCUGGAAGCCAUCUGUGACCACCACCUGCCAUCUAGGAAGAGUGCUCCUACCUUCAGCCAGGGCUUUGAGGAAAGGGAAUCUGACGACGGGUUUGACACGGAGGAGAAUCUACCUCCCGGGCUGAGCAGGCUGAGAGUGCAUGCGGCUUCUCUGGCCCGCAGCUUUAUGGGAGCACCAAGCACGUUAUUGACCCAGAGAAUGGCUUGUCGUCUUCCGGUGUGAAAGUCCAUGAGAAAUACACGGGGAAAUGUACGUCCACCCCGCGGGGAAGGCGGGGCAGGCCCCUGCAGCGGAUGGCAUUUUUCUCUGACUGCCUGGCAGUCACUACCACUGAGUCGGAAUGAAUACAGAGCAAGAACUUGAAAAAUACCGUGCUACGGCCUCAUCUGUGUGCAGAGGCUGUCUCUUUGAGCACCCA